AAGGAUGGAUAAGGCGAAGGGGGCGAAAGAUGCUGAUGCGUGGGGGGAGAGAGUGGGAGGAGUGCGCGUACACGGGAGGCGGGAGGCGGGGCCAGGGAGGAGGAAGACAGCCGCGACGGCGACCAGUGCCGCGCCGCCGGCGGCGAGGAGAGCUCCGGGUUCACCGGAUCGAGCGUCGCCGAGGAGGGGGACACUCCACGGCGGCGGUGCUUGGGGCUCCGACGAGCGGAGGCGAGCGGCGACAGGAGGCGACAGGAGAAGCUCCGCGGCGACCUGAAGGCCAUCAGCCAUGGCCGUUGUGGUUUCGCGUGCGCCCGCGAGCGGCUGCACGCUGGGGGAGGCGGAGCUUGACGCAGCGCGCGAACCUAGCCUUGGUGCGAGUGCGACGGCGACGCGGCUGCUGUCCUCCCGUCUAACCCGCGGCACGUCGAGCCUCACCGGAGUUCCUCCAUGACGCCGUAAGCAGCUGCCACUGCCCUCCAUGGAGCCCCGACGCCUCCGCCAUGAACCCAUCCAUCCCUCCUGUGCGCGCUUCCCUGCAACUCCAGAAGCCCGCCCGCAGCUCUCUGCAUCGAGCAGCAGCAGUUCGGGCAGAGGACGACGCCUCUGCCUCGACCGCUCGCCCCCUCUGCUUCGCGCUGGACUGCCAAGCCCCUCCCGUCCUCAUCCCCGUGCAGCUGCACGCUCUCGCCUGCCCCCACGGUGAGCUCCGCCUCCUGCGUGUGGUCGCCGCCUCCCUCAACCUCCACCACCUGCUGCAAGUUGGUGCCCAGGGCGUCGCAAGCUGCCAGCGGCGGCAGAGUUGCUGCUCCCGUGUCGUGAUUGGACUCCGUGUUCUUCUCCAACAGCAAAUACGUGUUCUUCUCCAACACCAAUCAAUGGAUUUCCCGAGCCGGAUUUGAGUUGCCUACUAUAAGAAGGAAGGGUCCUCGGACCAGAAGCUCCAUCACAUCAAAUCAAAUCCCGUCGAAAUUGCAAUCUUCGUCGAAACAUCCAUGUCGCCGCCGAGUUCGCCGGAGGAAGAAGCGCAGAGUUCGCCGGAGGAACAAGCGUUGGACGUGUGUGGCGGCGUGCUCGGAGAGCGGGGAGGGGCGCUGUGGUGGUGGAGAUGGCCGACGCUGUAGACAAGCGCUGGGAGCUUCUGAAGCCAUGGCCGAGCGAAGGGGAGAGCCGCCAUGCUAGACGAGAACAACAACCGUGGUAGAUGAUGUUCAGGGAGAUAUUACAAACUGCUAGAUGUUGCUACUGUAUUGACUAUAAGCUGCUGGAUUUCUUGCUCCCAAGUAUACUUGCUUAUCUGUGCUAUAAUGGAAAAUAGCCUAACCGUUGGACCUUCAGUUUAUUAUAUUUUCUUCUUUGUUCUUGGUAGACAUGCGCAAGUCAAUGGCUGAUCACUUCUUUAUAUGCGAUCCUGAGCUGAUGCGAAGGUCCUAUGUUUUCUUGAUUGGCAGGCAGGUGAGCAAGAGGAGGACCAUAGGUCAGGGAGUGUUUGGUUUCAGGGAGAUCGUUGGGGAGGAGUUCAUGACCAUGUUCCUGUCAGUUUUUAGCCGUAUGGUUCAGAAUCGCCAUAAUUGGAGUGGCAUUUAUCAAAUUAACCCUAAUUACUUUGUCAAACACACAUAUUCUUUCUUGAUACGCAUUUUCAUUUUUGGUUAUCUGUGAGAAUGUUUAGUAUACAGAGAAGUUGUUCCAUGGAUCAGCUAAACAAAAAAUAACUUUUCAUUUGUGAUAGUUUGCGAUAUGCAGAGAUAGGUCUAUCAAAGUUUGUAAUGGCUCAUGGCCAAACAUAUGAAACUGUUCUUGAUACUAUUUUAUCCUUUUCUUAAUAUCAUCAUCAUCAUAUAUAUAUAUGUGUGUGUGUGUGUGUAUAUACACACACACACACACACACACACACAAAUUAGAAACUUUCUAACAUCUGCAUAUUUCAGGUUUAGGAGGAUGUAGAGAGAACGAUGUUCAAACAAUUAAGUGCAGCAUCAACAGACGUGUUCCUAAAUUUUGAUGACUAUUAGAAAGAGAGAGGAUAUGGUGACCGAAAGUCGUGCCGUGUACGUGUCGGGCAGUGGUAGAUUAAAGAUAUUUUGUAAUUGGACUUGGCAAGGGAUAGAGACUAGCAUGAAUUUUUUUUUUGAGCAGCGAAAUGGCGCAACCCUUCGUGAUUUUUGAAGUUUGAACAGAGUUAUGAACCAUUCGCCGCCUAAUCCCUAGAUUCUUGGAGUAUCAAGAUGGUGUGGCCAUCAGGGUUCCCAUCACCAUGCAUGCCAUGCUUGAGCUCCUCAAGAACGCCACCAAGCUGGCGUGUAAUGGAUGAUGGCUGAUGCAACGGUGGAGGAGGCGUAUUGAUGUCAGUUUGAAGCAAAUCAGGAGAACGCCACCAUCGGUGAGGUUGCCAGGUGAAGGAAGCAGCGGACUGGUGGCAAGGCUUUUCUACUCACCACCGUUUGAGUUCAUCAUCUGUCGCUACUGUACCCACUCAGUCGUAUCCAUGUUUGCAUAUUCUCCAGCCCAUUCAAUAAUCCACGAAAGGAGAAAGAAAUGUCUAAGAAACCGAAGGUAUUGCUGCAGCUGAUAGGUCGCCUACUCCUUUGGAUACCAUUCAUAUCGUACUUAACUCAGUGAGCAAAUUGAGGACUACGGUUAUCUUCCAUGUCUAUGUGAAAUAAAUGCGAUAGUUUCAUAACACCAAAUGGUCCAAAGUGCAUCCAAUACAUGGUCAAGAGCACCACUGACGUUCACGAAACCGAUAAUAUUACAGGUAGGUACGGUGGACUCUCAUGGCAAAACUGGUUUAAGGGUGUUUGGAAAAAGUAAUAUUUCUACUUGUGCAAAGAAUUUGGCUAGCAUGAGGGGGAAGACAAGCUCAAUCAUGUUGGAUGAUCCAUGACAAUAUAAUUUUCAGAUAUUCGAUCCGGCUCCGCGCGCAUAGGCCAUCAAGGCAAGAAACAUGCGUAGCUAUAUGAGCGCCAGAUGCCAACGUGUGCUAGAAGCAGCGGCGGCAGGUGGCCUGGCGGCCGAACACAUCAUUGGGGAACACAUGCCCUAGGGUACCUGAUCAGGGCCAGGUUCGUACGCUGGCUGGACAGCAAUUCAGGGGACCUGCCAAAAAUCUGAACUAUGGUAAUCCAGCGAGGAGACCCUGCCUGUGCCGAACAGUGUGCGGGCCGACAAGAAUUCAGAUUUGCUAGAAAGUGAUCCGGUCCUAGUUUUAUUUUCUUUAUUAUUUAAUCAUGAGACUGUCUAUGCUUUUGGCGAGGGAAUUGCAUGAACCACCACUUAUUGGGGCUAGUGUUGCACAAAACACCUACUAUACAGGUUUGUUGCAGAAAGCACCACAUAUUGGUGUAAUACAUUGCAGAUAGGUCUAAUCUAGCGUUUAGCUAUAUUAACAUAAUUUCAGACAAAUGGAUCUCGCUUGUAAGUCAA